rnacentral:rRNA from 1 species
AUUGAACGCUGGCGGCAGGCCUAACACAUGCAAGUCGAGCGGAUGACGGGAGCUUGCUCCUUGAUUCAGCGGCGGACGGGUGAGUAAUGCCUAGGAAUCUGCCUGGUAGUGGGGGACAACGUUUCGAAAGGAACGCUAGUACCGCAUACGUCCUACGGGAGAAAGCAGGGGACCUUCGGGCCUUGCGCUAUCAGAUGAGCCUAGGUCGGAUUAGCUAGUUGGUGAGGUAAUGGCUCACCAAGGCGACGAUCCGUAACUGGUCUGAGAGGAUGAUCAGUCACAGUGGAACUGAGACACGGUCCAGGCUCCUACGGGAGGCAGCAGUGGGGAAUAUUGGACAAUGGGCGAAAGCUUGAUCCAGCCAGGCCGCGUGUGUGAAGAAGGUCUUCGGAUUGUAAAGCACUUUAAGUUGGGAGGAAGGGCAGUAAGUUAAUACCUUGCUGUUUUGACGUUACCGACAGAAUAAGCACCGGCUAACUCUGUGCCAGCAGCCGCCGCGGUAA